UCCGAGUUGACCCCGGCAGUCUCCUACGAGUCCCCGGCAUUACCCGCUGGCAACAUAGGACAAGGGUUGCGCUCGUUGCGGGACUUAACCCAACAUCUCACGACACGAGCUGACGACAGCCAUGCACCACCUGUGAACCAGCCACAAGGGAGGCUCUAUCUCUAGAGCUUUCUAGUCCAUGUCAAGUCCAGGUAAGGUUCUUCGCGUUGCCUCGAAUUAAAGAACAUGCUCCGCUGCUUGUGCGGGCCCCCGUCAAUUCUUUUGAGUUUUAGCCUUGCGGCCGUACUCCCCAGGCGGAACACUUAACGCGUUGGCUGCGGCACAGGAGGAUUCGACUCCCCCCACACCUAGUGUUCAUCGUUUACGGCUAGGACUAC
rnacentral:misc_RNA from 1 species